UGGGAUUAUGGGCGUGAGCUACUGUGCCGU
rnacentral:piRNA from 1 species